AUGGGUAUAGCUCAGUGGUAGAGCACAUGCUUAGCAUGCACAAGGUCUUGGGUUCAAUCCCCAGCACCUUCA
rnacentral:tRNA from 1 species